UUCUAGCUGGGGAUAUGGGGGCUGGCCCUUGAGCAGGACUUUGCAGCAUGGGGUGACAUUUAUUGCUAUAUAUCCUCCUGGUGCUGUGCUAGGGGCUAGGACCCCCUACUGUUCCAGUAAUAAAGCCCAGUCCCUGCCAGGUGCUUGCAGUCCAGGGGGCACCCAGGUGAGUGGCAGUCAGGGCCAACACUGUGUGGUGGCAGGGCUAGGGUGGGAGCCUCACAUACAUUUUUCUCAUGAUCUUCCCCCAUGACCUUGGUGAUUUCCAGAGAUUUUUGUCAGUCCUUCCCGUUUUGCAAGUUGAUCAGUUUGGCCCUUUGGUUUUUAGAUUUUUAUAGAAAGAACUUCUCUCAUCCCUGCUCAUAUCCUUUCAGUUAUGUUCAAAGGCAAAUCUCCAACCCAUUCCCACUCUGGCCAUCUGAAGUGUGCUGGGUCACGAGGGCAGGCUGCAGCCUCCCUUGCAGUUCCUUGCCUUAGACGCCCGUGCCAGCCCAUUCAACCAUCACAAACCCACAGACAGAGCAGAAGGUUCCAAACAGUCUGCGCCUGCGCUGGACCACCCUCUUUCCUCCUUCCUUCAGCUGCCCCUCCUUCUGGAUGGGUAAAAGCACUUCCACGUUUUCAGAGGCAUGGAGGGAGCCCGAGAAGAGCAGAUAUUGACACCACCAUCGCUGCCUGCAGCAGGGAGACCACGGGCACAGUUUCUGUUGAAAGGGUUGACCAGCAAGCACUUCCUUGACUCUGUCCUAAAGCCUGUGGAGAGCCCUUAAAUUUGUGGUCCUUGAGGCUAUUGUAAAGGAUCUUUCCUGGGUGUGCAGGAGGAGUUACGGACCUACCCUCGGGGGUUUUCAUCUUUCAUAAUCAACUGAGGGAGCGACGAAAUUGGCUCCCAGUCCCUCCUAUUUCUGCACAAGACGGGCCUCUUCCCAAGUGGCUGUUCUGCAGAAAAUUCACAUCUUAAGAUUGUAAAAAGCGUUACUGGAAUAAAAGGAU